AACGUAGGGGGCAAGCGUUGUCCGGAAUUACUGGGCGUAAAGGGCGUGUAGGCGGCAAAGUAAGUCCAUAGUGAAACCCGGCAGCUCAACUGCCGGCUGGCUAAGGAAACUGUUUUGCUCUGAGUGCAGGAGAGGGGAGUGGAAUUCCCAGUGUAGCGGUGAAAUGCGUAGAUAUUGGGAGGAACACCAGUGGCGAAAGCGGCUCCCUGGCCUGUAACUGACGCUGAGGCGCGAAAGCGUGGGUAGCAAACAGGAUUAGAUACCCCCGUAGUCC
rnacentral:rRNA from 1 species